rnacentral:tRNA from 1 species
AGCAAUAUAGAUCAGUGGUAGAGCACAUUUGCCUAAUAUACAUGAGACCCUGAGUUCAAUCUCAGCAUUGCCA